rnacentral:lncRNA from 1 species
UGUUAAGGCUGGUGACCCAAUGAAGGACCUUUUUACCUUGAAAGUAACAACAACCCAAUCUGUAUAAAAAUAACAUAACUAUUUUUCUUUUUCCCCCCACCUAGGUCUUCAUCCCAGGAGGGUUUGUACUAUGUGGAGGUGACCUUUAAAGGACGCAUGAUUAACAACCUGACUGGGGUGGAGAAAGAAAACUAUGCUUUCAAGUUUUCUGCUGCACAGACGCCUGUGGUUUACCAAAUUAGCCCGCCAUCUGGCAUCCCAGGAAAUUUAAUAGAGAUCUAUGGGAAGACAAUUGCUGGGCAAUACGAGACCCUGGACUUCAAUGCGGAUUAUAUUGAUGGGUAAUUAUAUAUAAGCUGCUACCUGCCCCAGCCCCUGUAAAUUGUUUUCUUCUAUUGCCCUCUGCAAGAGCAAUAAAUUGCAACCAGUUGGCCCA